CCGCACACGGCCUUUCCACCCGGGUCCUCAGCGGGCGCGUGCACCAUCUCCACGCCUCCUUCACAUUCCAUCUUCAAGCCCGCGGGAGCCAACAUCUGCUCCUAUUAUAGUAAUAUUUAAAAGUUUAGUCUUGAUAAGAACAGAGAAACGCCGUCAUGUCGUCAUACAGAAAUCGCAGGUCUCGCUCCCGUUCUCGUUCUCGCUCGCGUGACCGUGAUCGUCGACGUGGUAGGGAUGACUGGGGUUCACGUGGUGGGUGGAAUGCAGCUGGUGGUGGACGGCAGUCACUGAAAGGAAGGCAGCCAGGCGAGCGCCUUCGGAAGCCAAAGUGGGACCUGUCCAGACUGACUCCCUUUGAGAAGAACUUCUAUCAACCUACACCGACAGUACUAAAUCGUCCACCUUAUGAAGUUGAAAAAUAUAGGAAUGAGAAAGAAAUUACUCUUCGUGGUAAAAACAUCCCAAAUCCCAUCCAGUACUUUAGUGAUUAUAAUUUCCCGGACUAUGUUAUGGCAGAGAUCAAAAGACAAGGCUAUGAACAACCAACACCAAUUCAAGGUCAAGGAUGGCCUAUUUCACUGCAGGGAAGGGACUUUGUUGGUAUUGCCAAGACUGGUUCUGGCAAAACGUUAGGAUACAUCCUGCCAGCAAUUGUGCAUAUAAACAACCAACCAUAUUUGGAGCGAGGCGAUGGUCCGAUUGCACUCAUCCUAGCCCCCACCAGAGAACUUGCCCAGCAGAUACUAACAGUUGCACAGGACUAUGGGGCAUCCUCAAAGAUCCGGUCCACAUGUGUAUUUGGAGGUGCACCCAAGGGACCACAAAUUCGUGAUCUUGAAAGAGGGGUUGAGAUUUGUAUUGCUACCCCUGGACGUCUUAUUGACUUCCUUGAAGCUGGAAAAACAAAUCUGCGGCGCACAACAUAUUUAGUACUAGAUGAGGCUGACCGCAUGCUGGACAUGGGUUUCGAGCCACAGAUAAGGAAAAUUGUAGACCAGAUUCGGCCGGAUAGGCAAACACUCAUGUGGUCGGCAACUUGGCCAAAGGAGGUGAGGAAUCUAGCGGAGGACUUCUUGAAAGAUUACAUACAGCUGAAUGUUGGAUCACUUUCCCUAGCUGCCAACCAUAAUAUCCUCCAAAUUGUUGAUGUUUGUCAAGAAAUGGAAAAGGAUACCAAACUCCGGCAACUACUUGAAGAAAUCAUGGCAGAAAAGGAAAGCAAGAUCAUCGUGUUUGCUGAAACAAAAAGAAAAGUCGACGAUUUGACCAGGCGAAUGAGACGCGAAGGGUGGCCAGCAAUGUGUAUUCAUGGAGAUAAAUCUCAACAGGAAAGAGACUGGGUUCUAAGUGAAUUUCGGUCUGGAAGAGCUCCAAUUUUGGUAGCCACAGAUGUUGCUGCACGAGGGCUAGAGGCACUCAGAGGUAAUGCACGGAGGAUGUUUCGUUGCAUUAGGCUCCGGUGCCUCUUGAGACUUCGUGCAUCACUGAGCAUGAAUGAGCAGUGGUGCCAGGUGUCCACUGGUGCCACCAGACAGAUGGCUAUGUUACCUUGACCUUCAGGAUGUGGCAGAGGUCAACGAUGACCAAAGUUUACGGUCGCCUGCAGCCUGUGUUGGUCUCCUCCGACCCACUCUAGUCUGCAGCAGGCCGCACUGGUCUCACCUGGCGUGUCCAUCCUGGAACUGUCAAUUGAGUCACUACUGUAGCAUCGUGACAAGCCACAAGCCCAACAUGUGGUUCAUGGGGCCUGAACUGGCCCUUGUGCAGCUCUGACCCCCAAACACAGGGCCCUCAGCCCAGGGAAUGAUGAUCCUUUAGGGUCCACCCCGGCCCCCACUUGCCGCUGCCCCUCCCGCUCUGCCACAUGAACAUGUGGAUGAUGUCAAGUUCGUGAUCAACUAUGACUACCCGUCAUGCUCUGAAGAUUAUGUCCAUCGCAUUGGGCGAACUGGCAGGUCA
rnacentral:misc_RNA from 1 species